CACUAUCUCACCGCCACGGAGGUAAAGGUGGGUAGAAAACACAAAAAGACCAAUGGAGCAUAAUUUAUAACAAAUUCUUUUAUCAAUAAUAAUAUCCUUUACUGUCCACUUACCUCGGUGAGAUCCAUAAAACAACAUACGAAAGCAAUAACAUUUUCAUCAUCAUAAAAUCAGAUCCACGCCUUUGCAUUUCAAUCAUUACACAACAUAUUUUCCUCAUUUACCAGCCUACUAGUAUCCA
rnacentral:lncRNA from 1 species